AGGUAAGUUUGAAUUAUGGCUACAGGAUUAACGCUGGCGGCAUGCCUAAUACAUGCAAGUCGAACGAGAGUACUUGUACUCUAGUGGCGAACGGGUGAGUAACACGUGGGCAACCUGUCCUAAAGACGAGGAUAACAGUUGGAAAACGACUGAUAAUACUGGAUAGUUUAACGAAACGCAUGUUUUGUUAAUUAAAGGUGGUAACACCGCUUUAGGAGGGGCCCGCGGUGCAUUAGCUAGUUGGUGAGGUAACGGCCCACCAAGGCUACGAUGCAUAGCUGUGCUGAGAGGCAAAACAGCCACACUGGGACUGAGACACGGCCCAGACUCCUACGGGAGGCAGCAGUAGGGAAUUUUUCGGCAAUGGACGCAAGUUCCUGACCGAGCAAUGCCGCGUGAACGAUGAAGGUCUUCGGAUUGUAAAGUUCUGUCGUUAGGGAAGAAAAAAUGACGGUACCUAACUAGAAAGUCCCGGCUAACUAUGUGCCAGCAGCGGC
rnacentral:rRNA from 1 species